GGUCCCAUCGUCUAGCGGCUCAGGACAUUAGCUUCUCAUGCUAAGAACACCGGUUCAAAUCCGGUUGGGAUCA
rnacentral:tRNA from 1 species